CACGUAGGGCGCGAGCGUUGUCCGGAAUUAUUGGGCGUAAAGAGCUCGUAGGCGGCCUGUUGCGUCCGCUGUGAAAGCCCGGGGCUUAACCCCGGGUCGGCAGUGGAUACGGGCAGGCUAGAGGUAGGUAGGGGAGAAUGGAAUUCCCGGUGUAGCGGUGAAAUGCGCAGAUAUCGGGAGGAACACCGGUGGCGAAGGCGGUUCUCUGGGCCUUACUUGACGCUGAGGAGCGAAAGCGUGGGGAGCGAACAGG
rnacentral:rRNA from 1 species